rnacentral:rRNA from 1 species
CGGGACGGGUGAGUAACGCGUGGGUAACCUGCCUUGUACUGGGGGACAACAGUUAGAAAUGACUGCUAAUACCGCAUAAGCGCACAGCAUCGCAUGAUACAGUGUGAAAAACUCCGGUGGUACAAGAUGGACCCGCGUCUGAUUAGCUAGUUGGUAAGGUAACGGCUUACCAAGGCGACGAUCAGUAGCCGACCUGAGAGGGUGACCGGCCACAUUGGGACUGAGACACGGCCCAA